CGCUGGCUUGCAGUUGUGAAAAGCGACGAGGAGAGCAGCGGCGCACUCUCCGCAAGGAAGCUGCCAACGAAAGCCGAGUGAGAGGAGAGGUGACAAGUGAAAAGUGGCAAGUGGCAAGUGGCAAGUAGAUGUACCAAAAUGUGACAGUGCCACAAGUGCUAAUCGCAAGUCAGCCGCCCGUUGUAGCAGCAGUAUUUCGCCCGAAUUCGCUUUUAAGUUUGGUUGAUGCCUCUCCGUCCGCCCGCUUAAGAAGCGUGUGUAUACACACACUGAUAGCUGGCCGGGCGAGUGUGUGAGUGUGGUUAAUUUUGCCGUGUUGCCGAACAUCUGUAUCUGUAUCUGUAUCUGUGGCAGCCAAUAGUUGUGGCAAGGCCCUCGAGCUGCUCGCAACACAAAGCACAACAACAGCAGCAUCCCCAAUAAGUGGCAGCAACUGCGACGCAACGGCAGCCGCGUUUGUUGUUAAUUGAAAUAAAUUGAAAUAAAUUCCCCGACUUUGCUGCUCAUAUUGUUAAUAAAGAGCAGCCGGAGCGACGCAACAGUGGAAAGUGGAAUCAGCGGCAGUAAACAAAACAGUGAGCAAAUGUGGUUUUAGUUCUACGCCAGGCGUCAAACAACUUUGUGUGAAAGCGAGCGAAGUACCAUGAAAAUCGAAGGCAUUCGCAUUCCGUGCUAAAUAAGUGAAGAUCUCAAUGUUAUCAUAGGCACUGCGUGGCAGUAACCAAAAGAGCACAGGCGUUUAUUUAUAGCCGGCAGUGUGUUCCCAUUAGUAGUGAGUGUCUGCCUUGCAUGCCCACUUGCAAACACAUAGGUCGACGAUUAGUUGGCAGAAGUUGCGGGGAAAUGACAUUGCCAACCCAGGUCCUACCAACUCACUCAGAAGAACAACCUGCAUCCUCUCCUCUCUCCGCUCGCACGCAGAUCUAAAAAAGCUGCCGAAAGCCCUCAAUAGGCCCAUGGAUAUGAAAAUACUUUCUCGUCGAGUCAGAUUCCCAGAACACAAUUGUUUACACUAUUCGAUUAUUGUUUAGAUAACAGCCACUUAUGCGAACUUCCACUUGAGUACAAGCGAAAAACAUACACGGAUUGGAGGGGAGUGGUCUGCCACAAGCAAAUCUGAAAUUCCCCCUGCCAACAGCCAGCCCGUAAUCAAUUUCAUAUUUAAUUUGUCCCCUCUAUUGUCUCAGUCUCAAUGGGCCCCCUCUCCCAAAAAUCAAUUUUAUUUAAUUGUGCAUAUAAGAUUUCGUAAACAAAUGCCACCCCUAACCUGCUGGGGUCAUUGCUCUCAAGCAUCCAGCUAAACAGGACAUGCGCAGUGGUCUCUUUGGUAGUUGCAGUUUGGCCAACAGCGACUGAAAGAGCAAGGAGCGAACGCUAUGGCCUUUUCCCGCCACAACAUCGAGAAGCGCCGACUCAUCGAGCUAGUGCGCCUGAACCCCAUUCUUUGGGACUGCCGCCUUCCCCACUACAAGCGCUCUGACAAGCGCAAGGCCAUCAAGUGGAACGAGUUGGGGCGGCUCUUCAACGUCAACGGGGAGCGGGUGCAGCGCACCUUUACAUCGCUCCGCGAAAUCUUCCGGCGGGAGCUGAACCAUGAGAAGAUGCUCGGCAGCACGCGCUUCAAGUCUAAAUGGGAGUACUACGACGCCAUGGCCUUCCUCAAGGAAGUCAUUCGGGAGCGCAAAUCCCGUGAGCGGAUCAAACACGGCUCCUUGGAUCCGGUUCCUGUGACCACAGGAAGCAGCAACAAUAAUAACGUUAGCCGCAACAGUAGCAACAACAACAGCAGUAGUGCAGCCCUGGAUGAGUAUCAGUAUUUUGCCCCUAGCGACCCCAACAACCCGAACAACCAGCCCCAGCCACAACCCACGUUGAAGAGCAGCCUGCCAGCCGUGACUAUACCCAGUCUAGGUCUCAGUCUCAGCCAGUUGCCAGCUGCUCUGCAGCAGCAGGCUCAGCACCUCCAAGCCCUUCAGUUGCAGCCGGAUGUGACGCUGACCUCGCUGCAGAAACAGCCUGUGUCCAACUCACUUUGCCUGGCCACACCCUCGGCCCUGGCACACACCUCGCCCACCCAGGUGUUGUCCAGCUCGCGCUCCUGCAGCUCUUCUCCUUCCAUCUACAUCAAGGACGAGCCGGGAUCCCCGGAAGUGGGGCGCCCAGAUGAUGGGGUGCCCGAAAAAGAACCAGAUGCGACGCAAAAGAAGCUGGCCACCAUUCGACCGCAAACCAAACAGCAACUCAAGGCUCGGCUGCAGCUACCGACGCCCAAAAACUCAUCGUCUUACGCCACCUCGCCGCCCCAUUUGAUCAUCAGUGCCAACAACGAGCUUAUCGACGCCGACGCCGGGGACCUGGAAGAGGAUCUGGACGACUUCGACGAGGAUGACGACGUGACCGGGCAUUGCUCCCCAGUCGUCGGCCAGUCGGAGAUGAUGGGCGGCGACGGGGGGCUAUCGGCGGGGAGCAGCUACAUCGGAGAGAGCGGGGGCUGCGGAAGGGGCCUGGGUCGAUCUCACGUCCAAACGCGCCACACACCAAGCUCCCGGGAAAUGCUCUACAUUAAAUUUGGCGACUUCCUCGCCGCUAGACUAAACACUUUGCAUGAGACUGUAGCUAACGAGCUAAUGAACAAGAUGCUACUGCUGAUCGCCGAGAAGUGAGGUUAACGGGAACCCGAAAAUGACCAAAUCUGGACCGGAGAAGUGAACUCACGGCCGCAAGCUUAUAAGCCAAACACACUAACCGCUACGCUUGUCUUCUAAUACGAAUGGGGCAAAACAUAUAUCCCAUCCGGCUGCAUCGUGUCAAAUAACGGAUAAGUUGCAUGAAUGAAGUCUGUAUUAUGUGCCAUAUAAGACAACUGUAAAGCGUAUGAUAGUCUAUUAUUAAAGUGUGUGAAGUAGUUUAUAAAUCAAAACAGUUCAAAAAAACGACAAAUAAAAUUACCCAUUUCUGAAAUUUA